rnacentral:lncRNA from 1 species
UUCUUCAACAAUAAAGAAAACAAAGAAACAAAGAGGUAGCACCAAGCUUAACCUUGGCUCAUGACUAUCACAGUCUGGCCCUCCAACCAACUUUUACAACUCUUAUAUAAUUACUCUUGAUUUCCAGAUGCUAAUCGUAAUCCUAUAAUUAACUAAUUUUAAUAACUAAAUCAAUCAUCCGUCUUCCUGAAUUGACUAUUCUAUAGACUAUUAGUCUAUUUUACCAAUAUCUUACAAAAGUAAACUAAUAUCUAUUCUACAUAGCCCCACUCCUAUCUGUACAACAUCCUCGCAAACAAACAAUUGAUUCCUAUCUAAAAACUAUUUAACAAAA